CCAACUCUUUCACUGUGGAUGGAGCAACCAGUCUGACUCUCUGACAUGGUCCGCCUCAACCGACAGUGACUCCUACCUUAAGAGAUGUGCCAGAUAAAGAAUAGCUGGAGACCUUGGUAUCAUGUGGAAGAGAUGGCUUCCAGCUUUUGUGACAUUUGUCACCUUAUCAAAGGCACCAGCUGCCAUGAGCUGAACAGCAUUCCUUCAUGAUGCGUUUCUGCCAGGAUGCUCUUCCUCACCUCGGGCCCAAAGCAAUGGAACCAGCCAGCCAAGGACUAAAAGCUCUGAAACCAUGACCAAAAUAAAUCUCUCCUCCUCGAGGUUGCUCAUCUCAGGUGUUUGUCGCAGUGACAAAAUACGGAUCAACACAGAUGCCUUCAA